GCGUUAAAGCUUAUUAUAAUACACCACAAAUGCCAUUUUAUACCAUGAACCCGCCUCCAGUAUUGAAUAAUUUCAUAAAUUUAUGGAAGAAAUAAUGCUAGGACUAGUAACAAGAAUGAAAAAUUCUCCAAAAUAUAAGUAUAAACCAAGAUUAAUCAAUUACUGGUAUUUAACGAAAAUGAGUUUAAUGCAACAACCUAACAAGAAAACCCUGCAUUUUCCCCCGUUAAUCUUACACUAGAAUAUUUAUGGAAAGAUUAAAAGAGAAAGAAGGAACUCGGCAAUAUAUGACCCCGCCUGUUUACCAAAAACAUCGCCUCCUGCCUAUAAUAAGAGGUCCAGCCUGCCCAGUGAUAUUAUUCAACGGCCGCGGUACCCUAACCGUGCGAAGGUAGCAUAAUCACUUGUCCUCUAAAUAAGGACUUGUAUCAACGGCACCACGAGGGUUGCACUGUCUCCUCCCUCUAAUCAGUGAAACUGAUCUCCCCGUGAAGAAGCGGGGAUAAAACUAUAAGACGAGAAGACCCCAUGGAGCUUCAAACUGAACAGCAACUUAAUUACUUAUUUCCCCAUAUAAUAAAGGUAUGCCUGUAAGUUUUGGGUUGGGGCGACCGCGGAGAACAAAAUAACCUCCAUAGCGAAAAGAACUAAACCUUUAUCUAAGAGCCACCCCUCAAAGAAUUAGCACCCUAACGUAUAAUGACCCGAUUAUCGAUCAACGAACCAAGUUACCCUGGGGAUAACAGCGCAAUCUACUCCAAGAGCCCCUAUCGACGAGUAGGCUUACGACCUCGAUGUUGGAUCAGG
rnacentral:rRNA from 1 species